GGGUCUACCCAUUGGUCAGGCUUAAAUGUCUGCACUGGUGAGAUGGAUCUCUACCUUCUGAGGAACUUUCAUGCCAUUUAUUUGGUGUGAUGGGAAAUCAGGACUGUUACUUUGAAGAAAUUAGAGUGCUCAAAGCAAGCCCAAGCUCUGGAUAUAUUAGCAUGGGAUAACAUCAUAGGAUUUCGGUCCUAUUGCGUUGGCCUUUGGGAUCGGAGUA
rnacentral:rRNA from 1 species